rnacentral:rRNA from 1 species
AGUGAACGCUGGCGGUAGGCCUAACACAUGCAAGUCGAACGGCAGCACAGUAAGAGCUUGCUCUUAUGGGUGGCGAGUGGCGGACGGGUGAGGAAUACAUCGGAAUCUACUUUUUCGUGGGGGAUAACGUAGGGAAACUUACGCUAAUACCGCAUACGACCUACGGGUGAAAGCAGGGGAUCUUCGGACCUUGCGCGAUUGAAUGAGCCGAUGUCGGAUUAGCUAGUUGGCGGGGUAAAGGCCCACCAAGGCGACGAUCCGUAGCUGGUCUGAGAGGAUGAUCAGCCACACUGGAACUGAGACACGGUCCAGACUCCUACGGGAGGCAGCAGUGGGGAAUAUUGGACAAUGGGCGCAAGCCUGAUCCAGCCAUACCGCGUGGGUGAAGAAGGCCUUCGGGUUGUAAAGCCCUUUUGUUGGGAAAGAAAAGCAGCAGGUUAAUACCCCGCUGUUCUGACGGUACCCAAAGAAUAAGCACCCGCUAACUUCGUG